GCCGUCUUGGUGAGAUUUCCCAUUCCACAAGCAGUGCAAGCCCCAUUCACCACCUGAAUUUGAGCAUGGAAAAUGAUAUUGCUAUGAAUAUUUUGGUGUCUAAUUUGCUUAUUGUUAUGUAACACUUGGGCAUCCAUGUUACCGUUUCAGUUAUGGGGAGGAAAGGACCCCUGCCAUUGUUCUGGGAACACUGAGGAACAGGUGCAUAACUCAUAAUGGAAUGAGCAACCAAUUAUUUUUUAGCACAUGCGUGUGAUUAUGAGUAUUCAAAGUUCUUGUUUUAUCCCCCUUGAGGGAACUAUGAUAAAAUAGGAACGUGCUACUUUGCUUACUUUUGUUUCCUCAAUAAUAUUGGUUCCUCAAUAAUAAGAAAACAGAUGUUAGAUAACAACUAUAAUAUACUCUUGAUAUGCUAUAUACACAUGCUACUUUUGUUUCCUUGAUAAUAAUAAAACAGAUCUUAGAUACCAACUAUAAUAUACUCUUGAUAUGCCAUAUACACAUGCUACGUAGAAUAGAGAGAAACACACGAAAUGCACCAUGUUCAUACAAAUGUUUGUCGUAAUGAAUGCACUUUUGCCCCCACUGAAAAUAUGGACGUCAGUUUCAUCCACCUGUUCCAUAUUGCCAACUUGAGACCAAACUCAACCAAGAAAUGAAUUUCCAUGAGUGUGCCAGUACAGCAAAAUAAUAAAAAGAGAGGAAAAACUAUGGCCUCACCGAAUUCAAAUGUUUGCUCGUCAGAGAGAAAUAUUCAUUUCAAUUGAUGUUGCACAUUCUGAUCACCGAAAUCGUAACUUCGAAUGGUCAUUGGUCAGCAUGUGACAAGUUACUACACUUGGGGUUCUACACUACCAGCUUUCUUGUUCAUUUGUAACAACAAGCAGCUCCACAAAAUUACUCAUUAAUUCAAAAAACUGACCUGGGAUGACCAUAUUCUUUGGCAAUCUUGUUGCAAGAGCAAUACAAUCUUCACAAAUCCUACUAACAGUGGCUGAUGACGUCAGAUGCUCUUCUUCCCCAGCAGAUGUGGUUCCUCCAACAAAUUGAA
rnacentral:lncRNA from 1 species